rnacentral:rRNA from 1 species
UGGGGGAUAUUGCACAAUGGGGGAAACCCUGAUGCAGCGACGCCGCGUGAGGGAAGACGGUCCUCUGGAUUGUAAACCUCUGUCUUCGGGGACGAAACGAGACGGUACCCGAGGAGGAAGCCACGGCUAACUACGUGCCAGCAGCCGCGGUAAUACGUAGGUGGCAAGCGUUGUCCGGAAUUACUGGGUGUAAAGGGAGCGUAGGCGGGCAGGCAAGUCAGGCGUGAAAUAUAUCGGCUCAACCGGUAACGGCGCUUGAAACUGCAGGUCUUGAGUGAAGUAGAGGUUGGCGGAAUUCCUAGUGUAGCGGUGAAAUGCGUAGAUAUUAGGAGGAACACCAGUGGCGAAGGCGGCCAACUGGGCUUUUACUGACGCUGAGGCUCGAAAGUGUGGGGAGCAAACAGGAUUAGAUACCCUGGUAGUCCACACCGUAAACGAUGAUUACUAGGUGUGGGGGGACUGACCCCUUCCGUGCCGGAGUUAACACAAUAAGUAAUCCACCUGGGGAGUACGGCCGCAAGGUUGAAACUCAAAGGAAUUGACGGGGGCCCGCACAAGCAGUGGAGUAUGUGGUUUAAUUCGACGCAACGCGAAGAACCUUACCAGGUCUUGACAUCGUAUGCAUAGUGUAGAGAUACAUGAAGUCCUUCGGGACAUACAGACAGGUGGUGCAUGGUUGUCGUCAGCUCGUGUCGUGAGAUGUUGGGUUAAGUCCCGCAACGAGCGCAACCCUUGUAUUUAGUUGCUACGCAAGAGCACUCUAGAUAGACUGCCGUGGACAACACGGAGGAAGGUGGGGAUGACGUCAAAUCAUCAUGCCCCUUAUGACCUGGGCUACACACGUACUACAAUGGCAAUGGAACAGAGGGAAGCGACUCAGCGAUGAGAAGCAGAUCCCGAAAAAUUGUCUCAGUUCGGAUUGCAGGCUGCAACCCGCCUGCAUGAAGUCGGAAUUGCUAGUAAUCGCGGAUCAGCAUGCCGCGGUGAAUACGUUCCC